rnacentral:lncRNA from 1 species
CUUAUCUCUGUCACCAAAUGCGACUCCCAUUGAAAUGGUCAACCUUCUAAGCAUCCUUUUUUCUGCACUGGCACUCACUGCAUUGACCAGAGCUGGGAUAGCAAAACCCAUUUAAGCCCAUUAUUGCUUGCCCCACUACAUUCCUUUCCAAUUGCACCACUCUCAUGGAUGGAUCAAUAAACAGACACAAUCUUCAAAAUAAUCCAGUGACAGUUUAUGGAACUUUCCUCCCAUGGCAGGGACCAAGCAUUGAUGAUGUCAGACAGAGUCCCAGACCAACCAGGGAAUGAAUCCUAGUUGAGCACUUCCUGGACCAAUCAGGAGACAGCACAGUAGUCUUGAAUAGCUGUCAAAAUACAAUAAGUAUCCUAUGUAUUCGCAAUUGCAGUAUGUCAGUUCUUUAGAGUGCUAUCUCAGCUGACAUCCCCUUUGGUCAUUCAGAAUAAAUCCUCUCAUUUUGCCUUCAACUUGUCUGUUUCCCAUCUAGCCUUCUGGAGAGCUUGAAACGCUGGGCUCUGAACCUGUGGUUCUUGCUGAAAUCACAUAACACCUUGAAGAUGACUAAACUGAGACUCUUGUGCUUUGGAUGUAUCUUGCAAAAAUAUUACUUGCUUGAAAAGAAAAUAAGGUUGGCAGAAGCUGGCGCUAACAGCGGGCGCUCACUCCGGUCCCCGGAUUUGAACCUGCAACAUUAGUUCAUGUUAAAUUCUACACCUGCUGAAAUUCAACCUUCCAUUCCAAGCAUUCAACCUACUGCUCUUCCCUCUUCCAUUUAGGUAAGUAUAUUCCAUUAUCUCGCAUGUAUGAGAGUAGCAUCUUUAUAAGCAGUUACCAUACAACCCAGAGUUAUUUAUUU